rnacentral:snoRNA from 1 species
GUGCAGCUUUGGCAAAGGGACUUGAAAAAUUAUGAGAGUUUUCUUUGUCACUUCACAUUGAAGAAUUAGCUGCUAGAAUGAAAACUCUAGUUUGAGGGAGGGAAUCUUUUAGAUGGUUUUUUCCUAUAGAAUGAGUGUACAGUC